UGUCUACAAGGAAGAAAACUGAGGGGGAAAAAAUCACCCAAAGAAUGUAACCAUGGUAUCCUAGAAGGGGAACCUUACUACCCAGUGAAGAGGGUGAUCCGCUGCAAAAUGCAGAAGGGGAUCCAAAUGAAGUUGGUGGAAUGGGA